UAGUUACUAUCGUACUUCAGUGGAGGUCAUGUCACUCGCCAAGAGCUCCUCGUCUUUCGGGACCAGUGUAAUAUUUAAGCGCUCUUACGAAAGUGUAGUGUUUUAAUAUAUAAAUAAGAGGAAUUUAUCGAUCAGUUUGUUCAAAUAUUGAAAGAAAACUGACGCGAUCUUAAGGCCGCCAACACCUGUCGAGCUAUGACAAGGACGACUUACCAAAGAGGCUGUAGACGACGCCGAAGACGAGGAACAUGCCGCUGAUGACGGCCGUGACCACAUGGUAGUCGUAGUCCAGGGUACGACAUCGUUCCUCCAACGUUCUGUUGGAGCCCAAACCUUCACCUUCUCCUUCGACCCACCAAGGGUACUCGUAUCCAAACCCGCCCCCGGGGUCGUCACCCCCUAGCCACGACAUCCUGCACCCUGCGGGGAAAGAGAACCAGACAGUUGGCUUUGUGGGAAAAUGUCAAAUGAAUGAAGGUUUAAAACUUAAAGGAACACCCUUCUACCAAGUUGCAGAACUGUAGGAGCUGCAUCAUCUCUACUGCCUCUACCAGCAAAUUUGCAACAUUACUAUUAAGAGGGGACCUCCAAUCAUAAUAGGAAAGUAUUUAGCUAAUGAAUUCUUUUCCUUGAUCUUAUCUGAAUAAUUGUCUCUAUAUUAUAAAGAGCUGUCACCUUCCUCAUUGCAAUUUCUAAUAAGUUAAUUUUCUUCAUGAGAUUAUCAAUUUUAAGUCAACGUCCUCGGGCAAAUUUACAGAACUGCCACCUGUUUCUUCCCGCGUGCUUUCAAAUUCGCUCAGCAAUUAUUGCAUCUGGCACAGCAAUCCCUUUAUCUUGCAGCUCAUUUUCGUCCGGCAUCACAAGUGUUGCUUCUGCAUUUUUACUGCUUAAUCACUACUGAAUAAACCCUAUCAAGACAUAUAAGACAGGCCCACUUCAUUCCCCUGAUGUUGACAUCACUGAUGGCAUUAAUGAACACGCUUUUUAUGAUACCCCUAAUUACAUUCGCAUCAUGUGCAAUCCUCAUUUUUUCCUCUUAUCCCAUUAGCAAGCAGGACAAAUCUGCGUUUUUUAUAGCAGUAACAUGAUAGCUUUGGAUCAUUCAAUAUGCAGCAGCACUAGUCAAUCAGGUGUGCUCUCCACGCCGACUCCACCUAUAUCUCUAUCUCUACAGUGCCAACGUGCAUUCUAAAGUUCUUUCUUAAGCAGUUACAAGGAAAGCUAUUCAAUGGGAAAGAAUGUUUCUUCUUCAUUCGAGGAAGAACAAUUGCAUACCUUCCAGGUUAAAGUACAAAUCAAAGUGCCUUUUGUGGGGAGGCAGGACCAAUGUGGGAGUGGUUAUACCUGCAC